GAUGAACGCUAGCGGCAGGCCUAACACAUGCAAGUCGAGCGACCGCCGCACGGGUGCGUAACGCGUAUCAAUCUACCUUGUCCCGGGAUAGCCCAAGAAAUUUUGAUUAAUACCUUUAUACAAGCUGGCAUGCGUCCCAUUAGUUAGUUGGUGUGGUAACGGCAAACCAAGACGAUGAUGGGUAGGCGUCCUGAGAGCGAGCUCCCCCACAAUGGUACUGAGACACGGACCAGACUCCUAGGGGAGGCAGCAGUGAGGAAUAGUGGUCAAUGGAGGCAACUCUGAACCAGCCAUGCAGCGUGCAGGAGGACGGUCUAUGGAUUGUAAACUGCUUGUAGAGGGAAGCGGUACCGAAGAAGAAGGAUCGGCUAACUCCGUGCCAGCAGCCGCGGUAAUUC
rnacentral:rRNA from 1 species